rnacentral:rRNA from 1 species
CCUACGGGGGGCAGCAGUGAGGAAUAUUGGUCAAUGGGCGCGAGCCUGAACCAGCCAAGUAGCGUGAAGGAUGACUGCCCUACGGGUUGUAAACUUCUUUUAUAAAGGAAGAAAAAAAUGACGGUACUUUAUAAGUAAGCCCCGGCAAACUAUGUGCCAGCAGCCGCGGUGAUACAUAGGGGGCAAGCGUUGUCCGGAAUGACUGGGUGUAAAGGGUGUGUAGGUGGCUUAUUAAGUUAGAGGUGAAAGCCCGAAGCUCAACUUCGGAACUGCCUUUAAAACUGGUUGGCUUGAGUGUGGGAGAGGUUAGUGGAACUCCUAGUGUAGCGGUGGAAUGCGUAGAUAUUAGGAAGAACAUCAGAGGCGAAGGCGACUAACUGGAACAUUACUGACACUGAAACACGAAAGCGUGGGGAGCAAACAGGAUUAGAUACCCCAGUAGUC